rnacentral:lncRNA from 1 species
CGGGUACCUCAUCCUCCAGGUCAAGAUCGACGGCCGCGUCCGGUGGAAGGUGGGCAGCUGGAUCUCCGGCCACUACCACAUCUUCGCGACCUGCCCCGCCUUCCUCGUCGGCGCCGGCGGCAACGGCGCGCCGGGGGCCAGUGGGCUCAGGUUCCAGACCGCCACCUACUGCCACGUCGAGGUCUAGCCGCCGAACCGCACGUGCUCUGCUUCUUCUUCUUCAUCAUCUUCCUCUGCUCCGUCGGCGGCGGCGAGGUAGGUUUCUUGCGGGUGGCGCGCGCGCGUGCGCGUAGCCAAGAGGAUCAUCAAGGCUCAAGGCCAAGGGGGGUGGUACAUGGUGGUAAUAAGACUUAGCGUCGAGGGGUAUAGGUGUAAAAAGGAAAAGAGAAUUUAGUGUUGGUUACUCCUACUACUAAAUUGCGUUUUGUUCGUGUUUAAUUGUUGGUGAAGUAUUUAUUCCACGUUUAAUUGUCAAUAUAUAUGAACUUGUCGUUACGAUGGAAUUAAAGUGAAAUGGUUAAUGCUGGGGUUACAAGUAUACUACUAGUGGUGGUUUUGUUUUUGUUGCGGUUUGAGUUGAGAGAGCUUUUUGUUGUGGUUCAAUUCAACGACAAGUUUAGAGAUUUUGUUGGAAGGGUCCUAGCUUAGCUAGGUUGGUGGCAACAACCAGAUAGUAUCGUCGAUGAUGAUGAGCUUUAUGGUAGGUUGCAAGUCCAAUUCUCUGAACUCAUUGCCCUGGGAGGAUUUGGUGAACGAGUAGGUACGGAUUGGACUUGGGAGUUCAGGAUCAUCUCUCUCUCUCUCUCUCUCUCUCUCUCUCUCUCUCUCUCUCUCACCUUGCUGGCAGCUCCAUCUAUGGAAGCACCUUACAUACGUAUUUAUUUUUGGAGUUUCCAGCUGUUGGCCUCUAUAGCAAGUGACAGAGUAGUGGUGAUGUGUCUGACUGGUGAGAGGUGAGGAGUGGCCAGUGAGUAAAAAAAGUUGUUCUGUUGGCACGGAAUUGAGUGCAGGAGAGGAAUUAUACGAAAUUCCAUGUGUCCCAUGGAACUUCCAUGGUUGAACCAAUUAGCUCUCUCGCGAAAAAAAAUUUAGCUCAGGUGCAAGGUCUCCAUGACGAGCGGUGACGAUUGCAUGAUAUCUGCGGCCUGUGCGGCCCAGAUUGCGUUAUAAAGGAUUUAUCGGUCGCUUUCCUUCUUUUCAAAACCAAAGAAAACGGGGAAGAAAAGAGAGGUGGAAAUGUGCUUUGAGGUGGUAGACAGCAAUG